rnacentral:rRNA from 1 species
AUACAUGCAAGUCGAGCGAACAGACGAGGAGCUUGCUCCUCUGACGUUAGCGGCGGACGGGUGAGUAACACGUGGAUAACCUACCUAUAAGACUGGGAUAACUUCGGGAAACCGGAGCUAAUACCGGAUAAUAUAUUGAACCGCAUGGUUCAAUAGUGAAAGACGGUUUUGCUGUCACUUAUAGAUGGAUCCGCGCCGCAUUAGCUAGUUGGUAAGGUAACGGCUUACCAAGGCGACGAUGCGUAGCCGACCUGAGAGGGUGAUCGGCCACACUGGAACUGAGACACGGUCCAGACUCCUACGGGAGGCAGCAGUAGGGAAUCUUCCGCAAUGGGCGAAAGCCUGACGGAGCAACGCCGCGUGAGUGAUGAAGGUCUUCGGAUCGUAAAACUCUGUUAUUAGGGAAGAACAAAUGUGUAAGUAACUAUGCACGUCUUGACGGUACCUAAUCAGAAAGCCACGGCUAACUACGUGCCAGCAGCCGCGGUAAUACGUAGGUGGCAAGCGUUAUCCGGAAUUAUUGGGCGUAAAGCGCGCGUAGGCGGUUUUUUAAGUCUGAUGUGAAAGCCCACGGCUCAACCGUGGAGGGUCAUUGGAAACUGGAAAACUUGAGUGCAGAAGAGGAAAGUGGAAUUCCAUGUGUAGCGGUGAAAUGCGCAGAGAUAUGGAGGAACACCAGUGGCGAAGGCGACUUUCUGGUCU